UCCCUGGUAGUAUAUCGGUUAGUACACGCGCUUGUCACGACGCCUUUGCGCGCGAAAGCGGGGUUCGACUCCCCGCCAGGGAG